rnacentral:pre_miRNA from 1 species
AUUCUACUCCCUCCGUUGCACAUACAUGCCUUCUAUUUGUCAAAAUACAUAUGUAUCUAGACAUGUUUUAGUAUAUAGGUACAUCCAUUUUUGGACAAAUGGAAGUCAAGUAUUUUCGAGAGGAGGGAGUACACA